rnacentral:misc_RNA from 1 species
UGACAACACAGACCAUUGGGCACCAUCUCUAUAGUGGCCGUCUGCUUCUUGUCUGUCGCUUCUCCACCCGCGCAUAGAGCUCAUGCGUGAUACUUUUCGUGGUAGCAGCGGACGAGGCGGAAAAGGCAGACGAGGCGGCCGAGGGCGGCAGGGUCGUGGUGGUGGUCGGGGCCCCUCAUCAUCCAGCCGGCCGCCGGCCGCCUCCCCGAAUACGUCAGGAGGAAAAAGAGAACAAACGCAGCACGACGUCGAGUCGAUUGUCAUUCCCAACGCGUUCGAUGCGAGCUUCGCCCAUGUGAGCCGGUGUCGUGAGAAAGGGCGCCUCUUCCGUCUCCCUCUGCCUGCUGCUGCUGCUGCUGCUCAGCGCGACUUUGUCGUUGUGGAGCGCACCAUCAGUGGAAUCGAUGAAGUCGUCUACAGCCGACACCGUGAUGUGUGGGAGCGUCUGCCGCGAGGCAAUGCGCGGGUGUACGUAAAGUCUGAUUGGCCAAACGGUACCCCCACCUACUCACUCGUGGGUGCUAUCGAUGGGCUGCGCAAGUUUGGCUGCAAAGACAGCACCUACGGUUACCCGGACGCUGUGCAGACCGUCAUUGCCAUGGAGGAGGAGAAUGGCGAGUGCGGACACCUCUCUGCUUUCGUUGUUCCUCCCGCAAAGAGGGGAGAAAAGUUGACGGCUUCGCAAGCGAGUUGUGACGCCGCUGAUGAGGAGGAUACCUCUCGUCGUUACUGGGUGAUUGGGAGCAAGGAUGUGCACAUUGUGCUCGACUACGCCGUCUCGGAAGAUUGCCUGCACUACUACAGCAGCCUCGGCUGCCGCUUCUCGCAAGUGGUCAAGAUCUCUCGGCUUUGGAAAGCGAUGCUCGCAGGCGGUGGUGCGUCGUCCAGAUGUGGUGAUGGUAGUGUUGGUGGAUGUGCGCCAUCCUCUGCCAAUGCCGAUGCGCGGGCCGCGGCGUCCCGCACUUUAACACCGGCGCAGGCGCGUGCGUUUCAUGAGACGCUGUACAAGAAGAUGUGGACGAGCUGCUUCGUGGCCAUCUUCUCGGACAGUCAACAUCUCAUGGUCGACAGUGGUGCCAACGAGCUGCGGUUCUACGCAGUGACGCUGAGCAAACACGCCUUCGAGGCAGCUUGCACAGGGCGCACCGACCUCUCCAGCAACAAGGCGCCAGAGCCGGACGAUGGUGACUGUCAUGAAGAAACCGCGGAUGCGCAAAAUGAGGCGCAGCAGCAUUCGCGGCAGGACGGCCUCUGUGUCCCCGUGGCAGAGGCCGAGGCACUUUGCGCAGGUGUUGGGCUCGCCUUCUCACGCUACAGCGCUCCGGCCAUGUACGGCUCACCCGAGUACGUGCAGCGCGUUCGCACGAUUAACCGACGCAUCGACUUGGAGGGCUGCGUCAUGUACGGCGCCGACGCAAGUGGAAAGGUGGUGCGGCUGUGGAAGGAAAAGUCAUACCCAUACGCCAUGGAGCGCGCCACGCGAGAGGCCGUCACAAACCACAAGCUCAACGGCAAUGGCCUCCAGGCGUGGCUCAAGAAGAAGCUAGACCAGCAACAGCCGGAGCUGCGAGACCACCUCAAGGAGUGGGAGGUGAACCGCAUGCCCUGGCUCCUGCACUUUGCCGCCUGGCUGCAGAUGACUCGGCGCCUCACGCCAAACAUGCAGCGCAACGAAUUGUUACAGCUUCGAAAGGAAUGGCUCUCUCUCCAGAAGGAGUUCCAGACCGCCAUGGACUCCGACCCGAAGCUGCGCGAUGCGUGUGGGCAGUACCGACCCGAUCCGGUGCAGUGGGGCAGCGGCACGCACGAUCUGGAUGUGAUCAAGUUCGUGGGGCCGCAAGGGUGUGGCAAGUCCACCUUGAGCCGUGCCCUCUACGUGCUACUGCAAGCGUCACGGUACCAGCCCCGUUGGGUGAAUCAGGACGAGGCAGGCAAGCGCGACAAGUUCCUCGCCUUGCUGCGGCAAGCCACGCAGGCGGAGUCGACGGUGACGCAUCUCAUAAUCGACAAGAUGAACCUGGACGCCAAGAUGAACCACGACUACGACAAUCUACCGCUGAGCUUGACGGUGACGUGGUUUCACCCCGACGGGGAAAAGGCAUUGUACGAUGUGUGUAUCGCCCGCGUGCUCGGCCGCGGGAACGGGCACCGGUCCAUCCGUGUCGACCCGAAUCUGACGCAGCAGGAGCGCGACGAGAAGAUGACGCGCACGCGCUCGUUUGUGCGCAAGGCGGUGCGUGACUGCGAGACGCCAAGGGAUCCGCCAGAGUUGGUGCUGGAGCUGGACGUCACCUCGCCACUCAGCGACAUGGUGCGGAUGAUAUGGGAAAAGCUGCAGGCGAACGGCACACACACGCUGCCGCCUGUCACGGACGAGGACGUGAACGAGGCGAUCAGCUUGGCUCACCAAUACGAAUCGCAUCUUCACAACUUGCCGCGCGCCCCGACUUACGCCUGCAUCGGCAUAGAGAAACAACAGGAUGUAGAGAAGCUACUCGCAUUGGUGCCUCCGGAGUUCACUGCAGGGCAGGUGGUGCAGCGCGAGUUCCACGUCACGACAAAGUACUUCGGCGGCGAGAUGGACCCCGUGGCAUUUGUCACGCUCGCCAAACUCCUCGGUCAGUCUGUCACGCUCACCUUAGAGUCUGUCGUCGCCGAUGCGGACGGAGUGGCGAUCACCGUGCGCCGCGACGACGCACACUACCCCUGCGCGAACCCCAUACCGCACAUCACCAUCUCGAACCGCAAAGGAGUGCCGCCCAAGUACAGCAACGAUCUGAUAUCCCCCACGACUUACCCGGGCGAUCCUGCGAAGAGGAAGGUGUUGCAACUGCCAGCAAACUGCACUGUAAUGGGCAUCUUUGAGUUCCGAUGAGGCGGUGCACGGGUGUUUGUCGCUUCAACGGUGGUCGUGGUCGCUUCUUCUCGGGAAACCAUGUAGCCUCCCUCGCUUAUAUCACACUCUCGUCUCACCCUUUCUCGGUUUGACCCUCUCCCUGCGUGUGCGCACAUGGGAAUGGGUGAGGCAGGUGUUGCAGGCUGACUGAAAGGAUGGAGCACGAGCCAAUCCUAAUCGGCUCUCGCGCCGUGCAGAGCGCCGCUGCACAACUCCCUCUUGCCGUGUGCUUUUUUUUCUAUUACUGGUUUUCUUGCCUUUCUCUCUCUCAUGAUCGUCUCCCUCUUGUGCGCGCAGCC